GCAAAUAUGACGUACAUUUCUAUUUACGGUGAAUCUACAACGUUUGGACAUGCGAUGUUAGAUGUACCAUUAUAUAAUUACUUAUUCUCAAGUUAUAUUUGAUACAUGUACAUACAUUUGAAAAUUUAUAAAAAGAUAAAAUGAAUUGAGCUGGAUACAUUACUACUCGAUGAUGAAACUGUUUUAAAUAUUUUUUAAAACUUACUUUUUUAAAUUCAAAGUGAUAUAAGAUAGGGCGUUUUACAAAAACAUUUGUUUCGCGCUAAAAUGAUAAAACGUAUGUUUAUUUACAGGAAUGUAAUUAGUUUAGCAAUUUGUUUCACUAGUGCCGCGUAUGCACAUGGAGGAGGAGGAAUCAGUGCACAUAUAGGAGAGGUAGUUGUCCCACAGAUUGGUACUAUGAAUGGAAUUGCAACAAAAACAGAAG